rnacentral:rRNA from 1 species
GGGGUUUUUUAAAUGGAGACUCGUAUGAACGGCGUAACCUUCUUCAACUGUCUCCCCUCCCACCCCUCUAAAUUCUUUUCUGAGUGAAGAAACCCAGAUAAACCAGAAAGACGAGAAGACCCUGUCGAGCUUUAACCAUUAGGUGAACUUAAACCCCUUUUAGACAUCACCCAAAGGUUUUGGUUGGGGCAACCAUGGAGAAAAUAAACCCUCCAGAGCAAAUAGAAGAAAGUAAUUCACUAUUACUCCUAACUGAGAACCAGGAACUGGUAUUCAGAAAAAGUUACCGCAGGGAUAACAGCGUAAUCCCCUCUAAGAGUCC